CUUCCCGCCUGCGCGCUCGGCCAAGUGCGGCCGGGUCCUGCGGGACCGGCCCGAGUCCGCCGUAGACAACUUGAUCCGCUAAGACUCCUGGGCCGGCCGCCUGCGUGCAGGGCAGCCCCUCGCCGGUGUUGGCCUCCGGGAUCAGGGGACGGGGCUCGCUCUCCUCCCGGGCCCGGGCCCCCGACGCAAGAUGGCUGUGUCGCGUCGGCCUCUAAACAAUGUGUGGAGCGCGCAGCUCCUGCACCAGGGCCUGGUGGCUUGUCCUGCCCGCCCGUGGGGGCCGUGUGAUCUGUUUUCGGAAACCGAAAUAUUUAUUGUUGGAUUUAUCCAGGAAGGCUGUUCUGCAUUAGUUAAAUGCAUCAUAUCUUCAAGAAAUGUUAAAUGACAUGGGUAAUGUUUUCUUUGUAUGCUGGAUUUUUCAAUAGCUUCUACUUCUUGGCUUUAAAAAAUAUUUCUAACCAAGGGUCAGACCAUUUUAGGUAGAGUAAUUAUGAUCUUAGAUGAUUUGAACUAACUCAGCUGUCUGUCCAUUUGUGAAAUGGGAAUAAUAAUAUUUAUCUCUAUGAAGUUAGGCCACAAAUUCUUUCUAGUAGGUUCAAGUAUUUAAGCACCUGGAGAGGUGACUGGUUACCCUCCUAGUGGCUUCAGGAAGUUUUCUCACUGAAUGA
rnacentral:lncRNA from 1 species